AUUGCGGCAGUUGAAUUUACAAAAUAUUUCAGUCACUUGAACAACUCUAUUGCAAUUGUUUUCUCUUCUCUUUCCUCUUUUUAUUCUUUUUUUUAAGGAGUAUGUAUUGACAUGUAUUGAAAUAUUACAAACAUAAUUCCUCUUUUUUCUUCCUCUUAUCCUUCUAUUUUUUCUUCCUCUUAUCCUUCUAUUUUUUCAUUCCUUUUUUUUUCUUUUCUACUUUUUUUUUCUUUUUCUGCCAACUUCU
rnacentral:lncRNA from 1 species